UGGGGAAUUUUGGACAAUGGGGGCAACCCUGAUCCAGCAAUGCCGCGUGUGUGAAGAAGGCCUUCGGGUUGUAAAGCACUUUUGUCCGGAAAGAAAUCGCCCUGGCUAAUAUCCGGGGUGGAUGACGGUACUGGAAGAAUAAGCACCGGCUAACUACGUGCCAGCAGCCGCGGUAAUACGUAGGGUGCGAGCGUUAAUCGGAAUUACUGGGCGUAAAGCGUGCGCAGGCGGUUGUGCAAGACAGAUGUGAAAUCCCCCGGGGCUUAACCUGGGAAUGGCAUUUGUGACUGCACGGCUAGGAGUGUGUCAGGGUAGGGGGUAUGAUCCCACGUGUAGCAGUGAAAUGCGUAGAUAUGUGGAGGAACACCGAUGGCGAAGGCAGCCCCCUGGGAUAACACUGACGCUCAUGCACGAAAGCGUGGGGAGCAAACAGGAUUAGAUACCCUGGUAGUCCACGCCCUAAACGAUGUCAACUAGUUGUCGGGUCUUAAUUGACUUGGU
rnacentral:rRNA from 1 species